rnacentral:rRNA from 1 species
GACGAACGCUGGCGGCGCGCCUAACACAUGCAAGUCGAACGAGCGAGAGAGAGCUUGCUUUCUCGAGCGAGUGGCGAACGGGUGAGUAACGCGUGAGGAACCUGCCCUCAAAGAGGGGGACAACAGUUGGAAACGACUGCUAAUACCGCAUAAGCCCACGGUGCCGCAUGGCACAGAGGGAAAAGGAGCAAUCCGCUUUGAGAUGGCCUCGCGUCCGAUUAGCUAGUUGGUGAGGUAACGGCCCACCAAGGCGACGAUCGGUAGCCGGACUGAGAGGUUGAACGGCCACAUUGGGACUGAGACACGGCCCAAACUCCUACGGGAGGCAGCAGUGGGGAAUAUUGCACAAUGGGGGAAACCCUGAUGCAGCGACGCCGCGUGAGUGAUGAAGUAUUUCGGUAUGUAAAACUCUAUCAGACAGGGAAGAUAAUGACGGUACCUGACUAAGAAGCACGGCUAAAUACGU